UACGUAGGGUGCGAGCGUUAAUCGGAAUUACUGGGCGUAAAGCGUGCGCAGGCGGUUCGUUGUGUCUGUGGUGAAAGCCCCGGGCUUAACCUGGGAAUGGCCAUGGAAACUGGCGAGCUGGAGUGUGGCAGAGGGGGGGUGGAAUUCCGCGUGUAGCAGUGAAAUGCGUAGAGAUGCGGAGGAACACCGAUGGCGAAGGCAGCCCCCUGGGCUAACACUGACGCUCAGGCACGAAAGCGUGGGGAGCAAACAGG
rnacentral:rRNA from 1 species